rnacentral:rRNA from 1 species
AACGAACGCUGGCGGCGUGCCUAACACAUGCAAGCCGUGCGAGAAAGUUCCUUCGGGAGCGAGUAAAGCGGCGCACGGGUGAGUAACACGUAGGUAACCUGCCCCCCAGUCUGGAACAACUAGAGGAAACUCUAGCUAAUGCCGGAUGAGACCACGAUCCCUUCGGGGGUUGCGGCCAAAGAUGGCCUCUACUUGUAAGCUAUCGCUGAGGGAUGGGCCUGCGGGCCAUUAGCUUGUUGGUGUGGUAACGGCUCACCAAGGCUGUGAUGGCUAGCUGGUCUGAGAGGAUGACCAGCCACACUGGGACUGAGACACGGCCCAGACUCCUACGGGAGGCAGCAGUGGGGAAUAUUGCGCAAUGGGCGAAAGCCUGACGCAGCGACGCCGCGUGGGUGAUGAAGGCC